rnacentral:lncRNA from 1 species
GCAUUGAGCUGCUGCUGGCGGCCCACGUGGUGAUCAGCCGCCGUGAGCAGCAACAGCAGGUGCAGGCGCAGACGCAGGAGCCCGCGGAUGCUGACGAGGCCGGGCGGCCCAAGCGCAUGCGGCUGCAGAAGACCUUGUCACUCUAAAGCAGGGCACGAUUGAGGGUGCGGGCAGGGGGCAACGUACAUACACACACAGCAGGCACAGUUGGCACAGCAUGAUGACAUACCUGUACAGCACGUGGCGGGGGCCGGGCGCUGCAAGGUGCUGUGCUGCGUUUGAGCGCGUGGCGGCGACCCGUGUGACGCGGCGCGUCGGCACACAUGGCGCUUUUGGGCCGCGUAUCACGUGGAUGCCGCGUCACGUACUACAGCCGCUGCCGCGAUGGCAAUGGCGCACGGACAGACCUGUUAGAGGGGGAUUUAGAUUUGACAAUUAGGGAGGUGGUAGGCUGGUAACGAACAUUCAGGCGUGUAGCGUACCAAGUGUUUAUCUUCUGCAGGGAACUCAAUGCUGCAAUGUAGACAGUACUGCGUGACAGUACUGCUAGCACUAGCACUACGGACGGUGGCUUUAUGGAUGCGUGUGGCAGGACCCGCAAGCACAGGAACUAACUUUGCAGACAGACAGCAGCUGAGAACCACCGCACUGUGUACUUGCUGACGUGGAACCCCCAGUUUUGACGGGUAAGCGAAUGCUCUUCAUUUGAUGUUCAGUUAUCUCUUUCUCUCUCUUGCGCGCGUGCUGCUGGCUGGUGAUGUUGCAAGGAUUGCCCCAUAGGCCCAGAGGCAAAAACCUGACAAAGGGCAUGCCACCACGUGAUCCCCACUUGAAAUGUGAAGUUCUGGUCUAUGGACCUACACCGGAUGCGUGGUGCGCGUGCGAACAGAACUGCGCAACCUCAAUCCGUACCAAUUGUAAACAUGAGUUGGAGCGCUCCACAGCACGCCUCCCAUGCCUCGCCCCGAUGCAACACUGUCGGACGCCCUGGCCGGGCUGGGUGCCUCGGCUCGUGCCUCGGACAGCUUCGCACACGCGGCUCGGUCACGGCACUUGCUUGGGGCACUGUCCGGUUGCCUGUUGGUGCAGUCACGACUCACGAGCUGCGGGCCUCCAGCUUUUGGGACUUGCCUGCAUCACGGCAUGGGCGCAAACAACAGCAUACAUCAUCAUCAACCAUGGGAUGCGAAGCACAGGGGCACGGGCUCGUCGUGCUGUGUAACAUGGGGACGCGCUGUUGGCUGUCAGUCUGGUCAAGUUCUGUCACCGCUGCGUCGUUGCCGGGAACCCCGUGUAGGGCUUGCAGGGCCGUCUGUAAAGAAUGGCAGUUUUACAAGGGUAUGGGGCACUGGGGGGCUGUCCCCCCGCGGCCCUGAGCCCAACGCAGCUGCGCGGGCGUCGAGGCCUGGGCCUGGGCGGCGACACCAGUCGUCGUGUCGGUAGUGGCGAGUCCAAGACGCGCGUCCCCUGAAGUUCGGCCAACAAAUUCUUAUGGAAAAC